AGAGAAGAUCAGAUGGGCAACAAGGCUUCAUUCCUGUGCUUUCCUACCACUGUUCAUGGGUGGCAUUCCUCUCUUGGAACCCUAUCGUGGGCACUGCGUAAUAACUUCUCUAUUGUUCAGUUUUUGUUGGAAAACUGUUGCCUUCGUGAGGAUCUUCAGGAUUGGCAGUGUAUCAUGUGAUGUGCGUAAGAAGUGGUUUUCACUUACCUUAGCAAAAUACUGUUUCACAUUUUACUCCUCAGGCUUGAUUUCUCCAGUUCCCUCAUUUGUACUUACCUUGUUUUCUGACCUAACAGUAAUGGUCCAGGAGAAAUACUGCUCUGCCAUAAAAAUCAGAACUGUUCCUCAACUUCCUAGAAAUAAGAGAACAAAAGAUUUACUUUAGGUAAGUCACCAGGGCUGGAACUGGUGGAAGUUUAUGCACAUGGGCUUUCUUCUGUCCUAAUGUUUAUUUCUUAAAUGAGAUUGAGCUGUGUAUGUGGUUAAUGAGGCGGUUCAUGUAGUACAUUAGUACUUGCCUUCAGUAGUUUUAAAUAAAUGUACAGCCUGAGUGGAGUCUUCUCCAUUUCUUCUCCUACUGUAUUCUUGAUGCGAGUGAGACAUUGCUUUGUGGCUGUAAUUUUCCUCCUCAUUUUAUAAUCUUACAUUUAGUGUUGUGUUUGAGGGGUAAUGAUUCUGCCUUUUAUACGCUUUUCUUUCUUUAUCAGUCUUGGAAGUGACGUUUCUUGUCUUGCUUAUUGAGUGACUUGUAUAGGGUGAAGACUCUUGAUCAACUUUCUGUGGCCUCGUACGGUGAGAAAUAUUGCUUGGAUUUACAGACUUUGGCCAGGGGCAGGAUGAUCUAUGAAUACGUUAUGUGGCAUUAAGUAUAUGCUGUCUCAAAGGAGUAGCUGCUUUAGAGACUGCCUGGAAGAUUUUAGGAAGAUUUUAAUUGCCUGUAAGACACUGUUUGUGUGACAGAUUUGCACAGGAGGUUCUAGGUGGUGGCUUAAUGGGCUAGGGACCUUUUUCCUUUAAUAGUUUUCAAGUUUCUGCAGUCUUCGACUUUAUCAUGACAUUUAUUUUCAUUUUAUGUAGUUGGGCAGUUCUGAUGAGCUUCCAGUCCUCCAAAUUUGACUGUAUUUUUAAUAGCUAUUCACCGUAUUAUACUGCUGUUUGUGAUGAAUUAAGUUUCUUGAAUUGGGUAGAAGUAGAACUGAGCUAAAAAAGAAAAUUCUAUAAUUGCAGUUAACUUCUAGCGUCAACCAAAUGGAAUACCAGAGGUCAUUCCAUCUUUAAUAAUUCAUUCACUAUUCAUUAGAAUAAUCAUCAUUAAUAUGAUACCAGUACUCAUGAAAAUGAAGGGAAACUUUUUUUGAUAGCCUUAAUGGAAAAGCACAUUCUGUAAUUUUAUUCAUGUUUUCAGGGGGGAAAAGAAGAGUUGCACAGGGAAAAUAAAAGUAUUUAUUCCUAGAUAAUGUAAACUUCUAACGCUGAAAACUCAGUGCUGUAGGGUGGUUGUUUCUUAAUAGCUCACAGACAAAAAAUUUUCCACCUGGUUUUUGUGGUCGUAUUUCCAUUACUCUAAAUUUUAAGUCUGAUGAAAAUUAAUGAUAUUUGCCACAGAUUUCAGUUGAAGGAAAGCUGGGUCUCCUUCGUGCAGGUAAAAUAAGAAGGAGUAGGACACUAGAAAGGUACUAAGUAAUGAAAAAUCUUUAACAUGUAAACAGAAUUGCUGUUAUUUGCUACAUUCUUUCUGAUAAGGCAGAUUUUUUUUUGUGUGCAUUUUUUGUACAAUAAGUCUUGCUCUUUCUCUUUGCAAACCAUUCACACAACAGAGCAUGCAUUCUUGUUUUUGUUUUUAAUGCUGGUGUACUGAAAUUUGCUUUUGUAAAUGCAUUAUGUGAACUACUAAAUUGGGGAAAACUUGUGUAUUAUCUUCCCUUUCUGUUUUCUGAGAGAGAUGUUACUGAGAGCUUGAUCUGCAGGUUUCCUGUAAGAGAGCAGACUGAUUGCCCAAGGGAUUGCCACUGCAGCUCAGUCAAGGCAGAAAAUUCAUCAACUGUGUGGUUUUAUCAAUUGCAAAGUAUUAUUAAGCAGUUGCUACGCUUAUGUCAAAGUAAAAUUCCUUUAAUAUAUCAAUUAAAAGUUCAAAGGCUGUCUUACAGUUCAUCUGUACUUGAUCAAGGAGUGUGUUCAAUUUUCCAUGUAACAGCAGAUUUUUCUUUUGUUAGCUGUCUGAGUUGCAGUGUAAUUGCGUUACAGGAAGCUCGGCAAAACAUUCAUCACUUUGGGCACUGAAGUGUGUCGUCUUAGGCAUUCUACUUGAAAGAACACGGGAGUACUUGUUAGUAUGUGUGGUUGGGCCUGGUGAUUCCGAGCAGGGCACAGUCCUCAGCUACACAUACGUGAAUUUCUCUCCUUGGCCUUCGUCGAAGAAGAUCUUCAGGCAUAAACUUGCAUAUUUUCCUUUACAGAGAUGGACACAAAUAUGUAUGUAAGCAUUUUCUCGAGGAGAGAUGGAUUUUCAAAGGCAUUGAAUACCUACUUCCUUUAAUUAUUCUAUUGUGCCUUCAGUGGGUAAUUCAAUUUUAUCUCCACAACUUGUAUCAAAUGAAGUUUAGCAAAUGAAUCAUGCUCUUAAACUGAUUAGGAGUAAUGAAGAAAGGAAGUUCUGUACCUGCUCACUUCUUGAUUUAAGCAAUAUAUUCCUGUUUGUCUUGGCUACCUCCUUGCUUUGGGGCUCCCUCCUUAAAAGAAGGGAACGCAUUAGGUUUUUCAGGAGUUCUUGUAGAGUUUUAAUUAUUUUAAUUUAAUUAUAUCAAAUGUUGACAUACUGGUGACGAGUCAAAUGUGACAAAACCAAGAGAGUAAAAUCCUUCUGCUUUGAGAGGAAAACAACAUUGGGUCUCAGAUGAGAGCAUCUGCACACGCCCUUUUUGAGAUCAUUCGGUCAGAAAUAGCAUCUAACUUCUUCUAGUGCAUUAAAUUUAAUUGCUUUAUAUGUCCGAAGCUCAUCCAUAACCAUUGUAUCUGAGAACUACCCAUUAAACGCAAAUGCACAAAUCUUCCUCUUCUGUGCUCUGUUAACAGGGAUGUGCUUAAAAGUUACUGCUGGUCCUUUUUAAAUAUACAUCGUGUGAGGAUCCUGACCUACCUGAGAGGGACUUUGGGGGAAAUGAAGACGAAACAUGGUGUUGUAUGUACUUCUGUGAGUCAUGGAGGUGGGGGGCCGCUCGUGUUUGACAGUGAGUUUGGAAACAUAGGGCAGUCUCCCCAGGAGACCAGCCUGGAUCAGCAACCAUGUCCUUUUGGUGGUGACACUGCAGUGUUCUCAGAGCACGACAGGUGGUGGCUCAGUGAAGCUGGUGUGAGCACAGGAGCUGGGAUGGUGAGUGGGCUGUGUCCUUUCAUGUGGCCCUGUGCUGGAGAAGAUAUAUUGCUGCCAAGACAUCACACAGCCAAUUCAGCAGCUUGCAAAGCACUUCUUUGCAUCUGAGAAAGUUGUGCUGACUGAGGUUAGAAAUGUGCUGUAAACUUAGAUGGAAGGAGCAAAUCUGUGCAUCCUUUGUCAUUCCUGUGCAGCUGAUAAUAGUUCCCAUAGAGUCCUUUUUGUGUGUCUGCAUUGUAUAAACCAUCACCAUAGAGAAGUGCAUGUUCUUGGUCUUUGCUGCUUUCUGCAAAAGGAUGCUUAUUGGUGGGAGGAAACAUACAGCAGCUUGUACAGGGAGGCAGCAAGCUCCCUGCUGGUAGCUGUGCAGUGGGCAGGAGCCGUAUUGGAGGCUAUGGGGUGCUCCUCAGAGCUGUGUCAGAGCCUCUCCUGAAGGGCAGCUGUGAGGUAGAACUUUCCAUGCCUGUGGCCCCUCCUGACUGCUUUUAUUAGCAACUGAAGUGAUGAUGGUGAAAUGAUGGUUCUGAUGGGGAGGUUCCAGGAUGCUUCCUGUGUACUCCACGGUUAGUUGCAGUAAGAACAGGUGCACAUCAGUGAUUUAUUGAAUUUCUUGUCUCUUUGUGGACGUUUCUCUCCUCAAGAAAAUGUCCUAUUCAUAAUUGCAUCCAUAGACUGAAGAGGAAGCAGAAUUUAGAAGAAAAGGGGAACAGCUUUGCUAACAUCUUCAGGUGCUGUUUAUUUUUAUAUAAUACAAAAGUUGCUCAAACAGAUGUGUUUCUCUCCUCCUUUAGUCUUGGAAGCAAUAGAUCUGACUUGAUGCUUGGACAGGCUGUCUGGAAAGAAGCGAGCCUCCUUCAGAGGUCACCCUGGCUGCUGACUAACCUCGUGAUUUGGCUUCCACUGAUAAUCUGUUUGCCAGAGCGUUGAGGGAUUCUUGUAGGCUAUGAGGAGGCAGGUGGCGAUCCUGAAUUAUGCUGAGGUGGAGAAGUGGAUGCGUGGUGGAAGAACAGGCAGAAUGGCAGCAUGGCUUCCCAGCGCAUGGCAGGGAUAACAGGCUGCAGACUGCACCGGGAGCCUGCAAGACGAAGUGGGAGGACCAGGGAGAAUUCAGGAUGAUGUCUAACAUCUUUGUUUGCAAACCAAACUUUGGGUAUCACACGAACGAGGUUUUAUUUCAGCAGCAAAUCAUGACCUGUUUGAAAAACAAUACUUGGUACUAAGAACUGCAUAAACAUACUACUGAGUAUUAUUGUCAGAGUUAGCAUUUAUUUGCUGGUAUAGGGGAGAAAAAAAAAACAGAAAACAACCUAGCGGAAGGUUUUCAUUCAAUUUCUUAUUAAUACUUGAGCCACAUCGUGGUUUGUGCCUUGUGCAAUUUGUAAUAACAACUUUGUUAGAAAAGACUUUCUACUGUUAAUGACUCAAACCUUGUUACCCAUUACUGGUUCAUAUGAGAAUUUCUACCCAAAUUGGUGAGUAGUGCGGGGGUAAGGACUCUUCUGUGAGUUUGGCUUUGCAGUUAUCUUUUGCAGACUGUAGUUUUCUUUCAUUUUACUCAAGUUUUCCUGCAGUACUGUCAUUUCCUUGUGAUGGAGGUUCAUCUUUGCCUUCAUUCUUCAUGAAUAUAUGCAUAUUCUGGCUUCCAGGGUUGCUGCAGAUUUCUCAGACUUUGUGGAAGUUAUUUUUACAGAGAAUAUUAAUAUUUUGUGAUUCAGUGAAGUUAAACAGUCUGAGGUUCUUUAAAGUGUGGUUAUAUAGAAAAUGAGAUAAAUGCUAUGAGUAAAUAAGAGGUAAAUCUUUGAUGUCCUGCUGGCAUAGAAAAUCUGCAGUUGCAGUGCUACUUGGAAAACUUUGCUGGGAGAUAGGUAGGAAUAAGGUAAAAGCUUAGGAAGAGUGUCUCAAAACCUUAAGCUUUCUGUGUGAUGUACAGGGGAUAACUAGGAAAAAGCUGAAGGGGCUGGGAUUUUUUUUGCUGAAGAAAGCUUCUCAUGUAUAUGAUGUGGCACACUUAUGAGAAAUAUGCUUAUGCCACUUUGUAUCUUAUACGUUUUCCUCUUGUGAGAAAAAUGACUGUGGCGCUUUGUAUUUUACGUGUUUUCGUCUAGAGUUAUUUAUUUUCAUUCUCUCUUUAGCAGAAAUACAUGGGAGGAAGGGAGGCGGACAGGCAUAAAUGGCAUAAAUGUUCUCGGGACUGCCUAUGCCUGUGAAGUAUGGUAACGUGUGAACAGUCCUGAACGCUUCACUACUUCUGCGUUCAGAACUGAUGGAUUUCAUAUGUGAAUUACUGUACAUAUGGCUCAGCUGUAAUGCAGCUUCAACUUAAGGGCAAUAAAUGCUGUUUCUCUUCUCGAACCAUAGUUCAAGCCAAUAUCAUUACCCGCACUUAAGUAGGUACACGUGUAUGUUUCUCAUCCAUGUCUCAAGGAUUUCUUUCCUUAAAUUUUUAGAUGUGGGCUGUGCUAGCAGAUUUUUUUCUAGCCACUUGUUUCCUUUCACCUGAAUUCUUCUGAAAAACAUUACUUAAAAUACCCUAGUGUACUUGAAUAAAUAAAAAGAAAGGAAAAAAAAAAGAAAAAUCAAGGAAAGAGAAGGAAAGACGGAUGUUUUUGUUUACAUUUAGCUAUCAAAAAUAAAUGAAAACAAGUUGCAGAUGUAGAUGGGUCUGGCUCUGUGAAUAUUUACUGGCACUUGCUCAAACAAGAAGCCUUUGAAAAGCUGAAGAGGAAUUUGGUAGAAAGUAGCAGUUUCAUUCUGCAGGGUUAAUGACUGUUAGAUGCUCUAGCUGGGGCUGGAGAGGGCUUUGUGGUGCUGUGAGGUAGGCAGAGGGCUGGGGUUUGCACCAUGGGGUUCCCUGCAACAUCAUAAUUGACCUCAUUUUAGCCUUUUUGUGAGCUCCAAGACACCUUAAGGGCACAGCUCAUGUUCCUCAGAAGAAAGCUCAGGUGUCUCAAGGUACUUGGCCUUGCUUUGGUGGCUGGACACAAGCUGGACUUUGAGGUGCCAUCACUCCUGCUGUGCAGAGGCCUCACGUCACCUGCUGACCAGCUGAUGUGUGGCCUUGGACUGAAUUGCUGCAAAAACCAACGAGGGUGGUUCAACCAUCACCUCUAACAUGAGCUCUCCCUUCCCUGCAGUCGCUGAGAGGAGCUUGCAUGGCUUGGGCCUCUGCAGGCUCUGGAAACAUUGGGAAAGGAGUCAGGAAGGAUGGACCAUCAGAGUGUCUCUUCUCACAGUCCUUUUCUUGGAGGUACUUCUGCCUUUCUGUAGGAUAGAGCCCAGGAGCAGCUUGCCUGUAGGCAUUUGCUUCACAGCUAAUCCUCCUCUCACUAAAAUUAAUUACGUUUUAAAAUGCCCACAGGUGAUUAACCCUUCCGGACACAGCCAGAAGAAAGAGUCUAACUAAGCCAUUGACAUUUGUAUUGCAUGACGGUAAUGGUGAUGCAGAUGGCAUUUGCACAUGUGUGCCUUGGCUCAGUUUCUUAAUGAAUUAGUUUUGCAAAGGUGUUAUGAGGCUGGCUGCGUUUCUUUCCCUUUCCUGCAUUUCCUCUGGCACCAGCGCCCUUUCCUUCAUGUUUCUUAGGGCAAGAUACUGCAUUUCCUUUCAAUCCUGAGUCAGUAGCAAGAUCUAGGUUGAUGUAUUUAGCUGGGUUGUGAGCAUCUGCCUUUCCUCCCCUGGGUACAUGUGACGCAUGACACCAGUCUACUUGAAAAAAAGUAACGUAACAAAAUCAUCUAAAUCAUUAAAUGGUUCAAGCAAAUAAUCUUCAAACAAUGAGCAUACGUGGUACAUAUUUAUCUCCCAUCUCAAUUAGACUGUGCCUUAAUUAAGAUAAAUUGGCUUUUCUCUUUAUUUACCAGAAUAAGACUGGGUAAGGUUUUGUUCUCUCUCACAAAACCUGGAUGUUUCCAGGCACGUGAGACUGUUUUCCCUCAGUCCAACUGGCUCCUCUCAAGCUGAUUUCUGUUUGGCAUGACAAACAAGCAAGAUAAUAGCAAUAAGGAGCCUUCUUCAGACCUUAACUGGUGGGAGGCUGAGGGUUCAACUGUUUUGAUAUGAGUAGAGUAAGCUUGCCACUUCUUUUGCUGGGCAGGAGGACCUGCUGCUCUAUAGUGAGGCACUGACUCGGAGGCACAUCCAGAUGCAGUAUUAAUGGCUAAAGGGAAUAGGCUGGUUCAUGUCAUGAAAGUGCAUGCAGCUUUGGGAAAGACACAUCUAUCAGCUUUAUCUAAGGUGAUUCUGUGGUUCUACUUGGUUACACAGGUGGUGUGAGGAAAGCUGUUUUCUUCCUACUGCCUUGCUUGCUGAUAGCAAGAAAAGAAACAUCGAAGGUGUGCUGAAUUAGGGCAGUUUUCAUCCUUACAACCCUGAAGAAAAGGGAAGCUUAUUGCUUUGGUGUGUCUCACCUUUCAUCCUUUUUCUCAUUUUGCCAUUUACUCUUGCCAAAAGGAGAAAAUGGGACUGUAGAAGUGGGAGCAAUUUGGGUCACUGUGUUUGUGUUUGCAGCAUAUUGGGUAGUUAAUAUGAUUAGAUUUGAAUGACCUCCUUUCCAGAUGCUUGUUGUCUCAAGUCUCAUUUCCCUUAGCUUUCUCAUCAGCCUUUCAUUUUUUUUAUUAUUUCCUUUUUCCUUUACCUCAGAAGGGUGCUUCUUACAUGAAUAGUUGCACGUAACUGAAGAUACACCCUGUCCGGAGAAAUCAACUGGGCUAAACUGGUACCAUAAAGUUACACUUGGGGAAACUUACUUUUCCAAAGACACCUGAAAGGGUUCUUGUUAUUCCUGCUCAUCCUGUGGGAAAGUAACUUAUUUGUUCUAGGCAAAUACUGACAUCAUUGCAUAGUCUUCUGGCUAGUUUUAUGCAGCAGUAGAUCCUUAAAACCUUUGACUUUCAUUAAGAUACGCACACCAUCAAUUUUAGGAAUGCCACAAUUAAGAUCUCACAUUAAAACUAACCAAGAGCAUUGGAACAAAGAGGACCCCAAAGAAAUACAACAUCUACAAUCAGCUCACAUCUUCAGUAACAUACUGUAACUGCCAGAGCAUUGGCACACUUCUAAAAUUUGAGGUUAAUAAUGUUUGUAAAACUUUGCAUUGCUUUGCAUCACUUGCUUAUUUGAGCACACAAACACAGUUUAUGCUCCUGGGAAUUUUAUGAAAAUCUUCUGUUUACACAUAUAAAUUGAAUUUCUUUCUCAUGCAACCAUGAAAUAUGAUCUGGUCAUUGCAUCCUUUUUUUUUUUUUUUUUUAGCAUACAUUUUCAACAUGUAAGUGUGCUUGAAGGAUAGAUCUUUUCAGAAAACAUAUGUAUCAUUUUAAAACAGCACAAAUCUAGAUUUCAGCGUGAAAUAAUUCUGUUUCUCAGUUUUUUUUUUUUUUAUUACCAAGCAUGCAGUCUAAAAAUUGCUGGCAAAUACUUAACUAAUAGCAUAAGGAAGUGUGUCCAGAAUAAAUAAAAAGCCCUUAUUGAAAGACUGGAGUAAAAUGAAUGUGCAAUUCAUCUGGGGAGCCACGUUUGGAAGGUGUUGUGCUGUGGCAGGGUUGUCCAAUUUAUCAAGGCUGAACAUUUUGCUGAAUGCUGCUUGUACCCUCUCUGAAAACCCUUACAAUUCCACAUUUUCCGCUGCACAAAGGCCAUUAAAACUACAUUACUUGGAAUAACAGUCGCCCCUAAAUUAUGAGCGUAUUACCAAGUGUAUUACCAUCGAAAUGUGCACUAAGAAAGACUUUUAAUUUUGUAAACAAAUUAAUACUUCUUAAAACAAAACUGAAAAUUAAGCCUAAGAUACAUGAUGUACUAGGAUGUCUCCAAGUAACCAUGACGACAGUUUGGGCUUUGUGCUCGUUUGCUAUAUCUGAUAUCAGAGUGUGUACAUUUUUUUUUCUAACUGGAGAGUCCGAAGGGGGGUUUACAUAGCUACUAGGGAAAGUAGCCAUUCUCAUGGUAACUUAGAGGUGAGAAUAGAAUUGUGCUACUGCAGGUAUCUUCCUAUGCUUGCCAAACAACCUACUUACUUUUUCUUUUCCUCUCAGUGUCAGAGCUAUUUCUUGCGCACAGUUUUAUGUGCCACCAACAAACAACAAAAUGUGUGUUUUCUGUCUAAGUAGAUGUUAAAUCUCCAGAGGCCUGGUUAGCAAGAGUGUCAGUGCAUUCUUUAGAUGAAAAAGCUGAUGUGGUGACUGUAGGAACCAAGGAAAACUUCCCAGUUAGUUGUGAAGACUCAGCAGUGAUGCGAUACAGGAUCUACAGCAGACUCAUGCAUUCUGUGUAGCUGUGUGAGGUCAUAAAGUAUAGGAAUAAGUAAAUUCAAUCCCAUAAAACUGUUGUUUUGUGGCCCUACAGCAUGAGAAGCCCUUUGCCGUUUUGGCAUACUCUGCCUAAUAAAUCUCCAGCUCUGCCUGGCAAAUUGUCAAGAGUAAUGAUGUCCUACAAGUUGAGAAAUUCAACAGAUUAUUCCUUUACUAUGAUGUGAAGUUUUUCCAUUACUAAUGAAUUAAGUAUUGAAAUCAAAACAACUCUGAGGACGCUGUUCAAGCAGGAUUAUGUAUUCCUUUGCAGACAAGCAGCAAUAAUACUUUUUUUUUUUUUCACAAAUAGUACUUUUGCAUUCUUUAUUCUGGGUCCUUUUUGUAGUGAACAUAGAAUCACAGAAUCAUACAAUGGCCUGGGUUGAACAGGACCACAGUGAUCAUUAGGUUUCAACCCCCCUGCUGUGUGCAGGGUCGCCAACCACCAGACCAGGCUGCCCAGAGCCACAUCCAGCCUGGCUUUGAAUGCCUCCAGCAAUGGGGCAUCCACAACCUCCUUGGGCAGCCUGUUCCAGUGCGUCACCACCCUCUGAGUGAAAAACUUCCUCCUAAUAUCUACCUCUCUAAUAUCUAAGCCUCCCCUGUCUCAGUUUAAAACCAUUCCCCCUUGUCCUAUCACUGUCAAUCCAAGAAUCCUGUUUUGUGGCCUGACUGAUUAAGACAUAUAGUUUAAACAAAGUGUACCAACCCACAACAAAGUAAAAUAUGCAUACUUUCUUUAAUACUUGUAACAAGAGAAGCACUUUGCUUCUGGAAGGUAUCCUAAAAAUGGAAAUAAAUACAUGGAUCAAAUUCUUGA